CGGAGCGUGGCGCAGCCUGGUAGCGCACUUGUCUGGGGGACAAGGGGUCGUGGGUUCGAAUCCCGCCGCUCCGACCA
rnacentral:tRNA from 1 species